GCGUGAGUAACCUGCCUUCAAGAGGGGGAUAACAUUCUGAAAAGAAUGCUAAUACCGCAUGAUAUAUCGGAACCACAUGGUUCUGAUAUCAAAGAUUUUAUCGCUUGAAGAUGGACUCGCGUCCGAUUAGUUAGUUGGUGAGGUAAUGGCUCACCUAGGCGACGAUACAUAGCCGACCUGAGAGGGUGAUCGGCCACACUGGGACUGAGACACGGCCCAGACUCCUACGGGAGGCAGCAUG
rnacentral:rRNA from 1 species